AUUGGCCAAAGCAAUAGAGAGGUUUGGGAAGAUGUAUGAAAGAGUGGAAGCAGAGAAGUUGAGGCAGAUGGUGGAAUUGGAGAAGCAAAGAAUGCAAUUUGCAAAGGACUUGGAAGUCCAGCGUAUGCAGAUGUUUACGGAAACUCAAGUUCAACUCGAGAGGAUCAAGCGCGGGAAGAAAUCGGGUUCCAAUGACAUAUAUGGUUAGCGACAUAUGACAGUGUUCUAACGUUGUAUGGAAGCAUUCAACUUUUGUCUCUGCCCUUCCCAAAGUACAUA
rnacentral:misc_RNA from 1 species